AGUGAACGCUGGCGGUAGGCCUAACACAUGCAAGUCGAACGAGUGGCGGACGGGUGAGGAAUACAUCGGAAUCUACUCUGUCGUGGGGGAUAACGUAGCGAAACUUACGCUAAUACCGCAUACGAUUGACUGAGCCGAUGUCGGAUUAGCUAGUUGGGGGGGUAAGGGCCCACCAAGGCGACGAUCCGUAGCUGGUCUGAGAGGAUGAUCAGCCACAGGGAAACUGAGACGCGGUCCAGACUCCUGCGGGAGGCAGGAGUGGGGAAUAUUGGACAAUGGGCGCAAGCCUGCUACAGCCCUACCGCGUGGGUUAAGGAGGCCUGCGGGUUGUAAAGCCCUUUUGUCGGGAAAGCGGUACCCAAAGAAUAAGCACCGGCUAACUGCGUGACAGCAGCCGCGAAUAC
rnacentral:rRNA from 1 species